GACGAACGCUGGCGGCGUGCCUAAUACAUGCAAGUCGAGCGCAGGAAACUGACGGAACUCUUCGGAGGGAAGGCAGUGGAAUGAGCGGCGGACGGGUGAGUAACACGUAAGGAACCCGCCUCAAGGAUUGGGAUAACUCCGAGAAAUCGGAGCUAAUACCGGAUAGUUCAACGGACCGCAUGGUCCGCUGAUGAAAGGCGCUCCGGCGUCACCUUGAGAUGGCCUUGCGGUGCAUUAGCUAGUUGGUGGGGUAACGGCCCACCAAGGCGACGAUGCAUAGCCGACCUGAGAGGGUGAGCGGCCACUCUGGGACUGAGACACGGCCCAGACUCCUACGGGAGGCAGCAGUAGGGAAUCUUCCACAAUGGACGAAAGUCUGAUGGAGCAACGCCGCGUGAGUGAUGAAGGUUUUCGGAUCGUAAAACUCUGUUGUAAGGGAAGAACACGUACGAGAGGAAAUGCUCGUACCUUGACGGUACCUUACGAGAAAGCCACGGCUAACUACGUGCCAGCCGCCGCCGUAA
rnacentral:rRNA from 1 species